rnacentral:miRNA from 1 species
UUUUGUAUUGCUGAAUUUUUGAU